UACGUAGGGAGCAAGCGUUGUCCGGAAUCAUUGGGCGUAAAGCGCGCGUAGGUGGCUUCAUAAGUCCGCUGUGAAAGUCAAAGGCUCAACCUUUGAAAGCCGGUGGAUACUGUGGGGGCUAGAGUACGGAAGAGGCGAGUGGAAUUCCUGGUGUAGCGGUGGAAUGCGCAGAUAUCAGGAGGAACACCAAUAGCGAAGGCAGCUCGCUGGGACGUUACUGACACUGAGGCGCGAAAGCUAGGGUAGCAAACGGG
rnacentral:rRNA from 1 species